AGAAUGAGAUUGAGCCAAAGAUGACUUGCCGAAUAGACGAACGAAUCUCAAGUGAUUUUGGUGUCCGGCAAGUUGACUUUGGCUCUGUUUCCUUCACU
rnacentral:pre_miRNA from 1 species